rnacentral:rRNA from 1 species
GAUGAACGCUGGCGGCGUGCCUAAUACAUGCAAGUCGAGCGAACAGACGAGGAGCUUGCUCCUCUGACGUUAGCGGCGGACGGGUGAGUAACACGUGGAUAACCUACCUAUAAGACUGGGAUAACUUCGGGAAACCGGAGCUAAUACCGGAUAAUAUAUUGAACCGCAUGGUUCAAUAGUGAAAGACGGUUUUGCUGUCACUUAUAGAUGGAUCCGCGCCGCAUUAGCUAGUUGGUAAGGUAACGGCUUACCAAGGCAACGAUGCGUAGCCGACCUGAGAGGGUGAUCGGCCACACUGGAACUGAGACACGGUCCAGACUCCUACGGGAGGCAGCAGUAGGGAAUCUUACGCACUGGGCGAAAGCCUGACGGAGCAACGCCGCGUGAGUGAUGAAGGUCUUCGGAUCGUAAAACUCUGUUAUUAGGGAAGAACAAAUGUGUAAGUAACUAUGCACGUCUUGACGGUACCUAAUCAGAAAGCCACGGCUAACUACGUG